CCAUGAGUACAGUGGCGACCGGGUGAGUAACACGUGACUACCUACCCUUGAGUGGGGGAUAACCUCGGGAAACCGAGGCUAAUACCGCAUAAUAUCGAGAGAUCAAAGGAGAAAUCCGCCUUUGGAGGGGGUCGCGGCUGAUUAGCUAGUUGGUGAGGUAAUGGCCCACCAAGGCGAAGAUCGGUAUCCGGCCUGAGAGGGCGCACGGACACACUGGAACUGAAACACGGUCCAG
rnacentral:rRNA from 1 species